UUCCUCCCUGAACUGUUCCCCUCACUGAUCUGCUUCUACCUAGAUCCAAAGACCUUCUAGGGUCUCUUGCUGCUCUUUCUCUGUUAGACCUACUAGACAUUGCCCUAGGCAAUGCAGGAGGACGGGCGCUCAUGCCCUCAUCCUCAGGUGGCACUCCAGUCAAUCGUGCAGAUCGACGAGUUCCUCUCAUCCUGUUUUCUGAAAAACAGCACAUAACAAACAAACAUUAGCAUCAUAUGGUUCAUGUGGAAACACAUGAACCCGCAUCACAU
rnacentral:lncRNA from 1 species